CCACCUGAUUUACGAAAAAUUAAAUUUACACAUACCUAUUAUGCACGCAAAGAAAAAGGGACUUAUAUUGGAGUUCAGGUAUGCUCCAUUUACUUAAUAAAACGUACUUAUACAUGAAGCAAACAUAGUACAAUUAGCAGAUUUUACCCUAAUAAUAAAGCUGGUUGCACAAAAUAUUAUAAGCCACAAACAAAGACAAACACAAAAGAUAAACACACAUACACAAACUAUAGAUAAAUGAAGCCUAGCAGUUAGAUGGAGGAGUGAGAUCACAUUCUUUAGGAAGUGAAGCAGCAAGAGUAGGGUCAAUUCCAAGUAAAGGUAACUCUGCUGAGUUCUUGUAAGAGCAAAGGCAUUGAAGGUCAGCACCAGUAAGAGCCUUACAGCAUUCAGUGGAUGGUUUUGCUGGAUAUGGCUGAGUCACUGAUGGCUUGCAAGCAUCAAGUCCAUCUUCAUUCAUGUUACAUAGACUCAUGCCAUUGGAAAAUUUUAACAUAGAUGCCAUUAUUACUACCACCAUAAGUAGUGACACCAAUUUCCUAUGUUCUUUCAUCACCAUAAUUCACCAAUAAUUU
rnacentral:lncRNA from 1 species